rnacentral:rRNA from 1 species
UUCCGGUUGAUCCUGCCGGACUCCACUGCUAUCGGGGUAAGGCUAAGCCAUGCAAGUCGAAGGCCUCCGGCUCCGGGGGCCUGGCGUACGGCUGAGUAACGCGUGGCCAACCUGCCCUGCGGAGGGGGAUAACCCCGGGAAACUGGGGAUAAACCCCCAUAGGUGACCGGGUCUGGAAGGACCGGUCGCCGAAAGUCCCGGUCGGGGAUGCUCCGGCCGGGAGCCGCAGGAUGGGGCUGCGUCCUAUCAGGUAGUUGGUGGGGUAACG